rnacentral:misc_RNA from 1 species
GGUCAUGCAGAAGCGUGCUAUCACCGUGCUUGCUUUCACGCUGCGCUUUAUACCUUCUUUGGCUGUUGUGCUUCGCUGCUCACUUCAAGGCGGGACGGGGAGGGAGGGCAGGCGCGACCAUCGUGACACACACACACACACACACAUACUUCCUUCAUCAUAGAGCACAUCCACCUGCCCAGGUACACGCGCGAAAACCGAAGAUGGAAUGGCCAUCCCCAUCGUCCUUGCCCGGAGUCGAGGGCUCACCAGGGCACGGCAGGCUUUGCAGCGCUACGAGCGGCGGCGUUGGUGCGUUCCAGCAGUUCUCUCCUGCUACGGCCGCCACCGUCGGCGAUACCGCGCCAGUGCCCGCCGAGGAUCGCUCACCCGUGAGCAUCACCGUUGGCGAAGCGAUGGAUGCUGUUGCUGUGCAGUGCGAGCGGCGCGGCCUCAUAAAUGCGGCGACGUGGCUGAGUGAGAUGAGUCUGCACGCACUGCCGUCGCUUCUCACGGCCCCGCUGCAGGCGUGCUCAUACGGUGGCCACGGUGGCAACUCUCUUUGCAGCCCUCUUCACAGUGUUAUACAUUUGGAUAGCGGUGUAUUCGGCAAUCACGCCAUAGCAGGAGAUGCGCGUGCCGCCCCCUCCGCCGGCUGGCAACGCCUGCACCGAGUCGCGCUGGGGUACUUCAUCAAGGGAGAGUAUCAGCGCUGCCAUCAUCUGAUUCUGCGCGAGGUGAUGCGAAACACGGCGGUUAGCAGCAGUUGCGGCGUCCCCUUGCCUUCGACAACGCAGAGGACGUGGCCCAUGUCGGUGGGUGAGGUGCCUGACAAUGAAGGGGGCCUCUCCUUGCCUCUGCCGGAGGUGGUCCGCGGGUUCCGCACGACGACGCUGCCUCCUCUCCUCCAGUUCCUCAGCCUCUACGCCCUCUUCAUGGAUGGCGUGAAGGCGAAGCAGCUGAGUAACAACGCCUCCCAGAGCGGCGGCGCAGAAAGUAGCGGCAUGGGCCGCAGUGGCCAGCAGCGAGCGCUGCACCCGCACGCACGAGUGUUGCGUGCCUACCUCCUCGAAGCGAUGCGCAACCCAGUAAACAUGCUAAACCUGCCCAGCUCUGGUAACAGCGACCCUGAGCCACAACACGGCGACGGUGUAGAUGACGAGGCAGCACUGCACGCCGCCUUGGGAGGAGCUCUUCCAAGCGCUCACCACACGUCGAGCGCGAAGCGCCCGUGGACGACAUCUAGCGCGGUGUGGCUGGCGAGCCGCGCCGUCUCAGCGGCAACGACAACCGGCAUAGCCGCUGUGAUGACCACAGGUGCCUCUGCCUCUCGGUCCGCGGCAACAAAGCAGGCCGGCUGCACGCACGACUCAGUCUUCCCUUGCACUGCCGCCUCGCCCGUCUUCUCGAACGUCUCUCCAGCCGGCUCUCCAGCCGCGAAAGCAACGGCGGUGCAAGGCGGCGAAUCGGAUGCGGCGCCUACGUCGGACUUGUUGCAUAUAGAUCCAUACCUGUCGUGGCUCAUGGGUGUGGUGCUGCGGGAACUUCGCAUGCGCCAGGAAAGUGCGACGUUUCUGCUGGCGGCGGUGAGUGUCAACCCACUACUGCGGUGCGCCUGGGAAGACCUCGCGUGCCUCGUGAGUCGUGAGGCGCAGCUGGCCGAGCUGGACGCCGCCCUUGAUGGACUAGAGCCGUUUUUCAUGGUGGACAUCUUCGCUGCCGAGGUGCGGGGGCUGCUGGGGAUAACGCCGGUGUCAUCGGCGCGGCUGCGCAUCGCCGCUGCUGCCGCCUCGGCUCCAAGCGACGGGUUCGCGCAGUCGCCGCCUUGCUCUGCGCCACCCGAAGGACGCGCCGCCACCACCACUGCCAAAGCCGGCACGCGCACGUCGUCGCCGCCGCCGCCGCCGCGAACCAACACCGGCGCAACGCCGCCCAUCCCCGCCGCCGCGCCGUCCAACGCGUGGGAGUGCUUCUCUCUGCUGUUCCCUGACACGCCGUUCUUCCUCAGCCAGCUCGCACACUUCUACUACCACCAACGCAACCGUCUCGACCGGGCAGAGGCCCUCUACCAGCGUAUUCGCGCCCUCGACCCGCACUACCUCGCCAUCCUGUACGACUACUCGAACGUGCUCUACACGAAGCGCGAUCGUCUGGGCCUCAGCAGCCUCGCACAGUCGGUCUACCAGGCGGACGCGUUCCGGGCGGAGACGAACUUUGCUGUGGGGAACUAUUACGUGCUGCUCGGCCAGCAUGACCGGGCUGCGCUGCACUUCCAUCGCGCGACCGCGAUCGACCCGCAAUGCGCGGAGGCGUGGCUGCUGCUCGGGCACGCCUACGUGGAGGUGAAGAACACGACAGCCGCCGUGGAGGCCUACCGGACGGCGGUCGAGCUCAACGAGCGCGACUACCGCGGUUGGUACAACCUGGGGCAGAUCUACGAGUUGCUGGAGGCGUACCACCAUGCUCUUUACUACUACUGGCACACCACGUCCCUGCGCCCGGCGGAUCCGGGGAUGUGGGUGGCGGUGGCCAACUGCUUGGAGCACGAUGGUCGCAUUGCCGAGAGCAUUGCCUGCCUAGAACGCGCAGAGACGUACGACUCGAGCUCCUCGCCGAGCUACCCGGCGUACGUGCGGCGGAUCGCUACGCACCACAUCGCCAACUCGAGCUACACACGUGCCUGCGUGUAUCUGGAGAAGCUCGCACAAAGCCCCGCGGCGUCCACGGAGGACCUUCUUCUCGCACUCCCCUUUAUCGUUCAACAUUACGUGCAGCGGGCGCGGAGCUCAGUUGAGGGGUUUGCCCGCUCUUCAAGCCACGACACGGUACUCUUCUCGCCUGGUGCGAAUAAUGUGUCGCUGAUGUCGUCGCCGGCAUCGGGUGCGGUGGCGGCGGGCCGGACCGCCCUGCACCACGCGCGCGCUGCUGCGGCACUGCAGCACCUCAACAAAGCUGAAGAGCACCUCAGCACCAUGGCGGAGCUUGUGAUGCCAUCCGGUCGAAACAGCGCCGGCAACGAGGAGGCGGCCCAGACGCCAGCAGCAUCGGCUGUGGCUGGCGAGAGCGAGCAAGCCGGUGCAGAGAGCAGCGCACCGCAGAGAGCUGCAGAGGAUGCAUCUAAUAGACGACGGACGCGUCAGCCGCGCAGCGGCCCAGCCGCCAACGCCUCCGUCUCUGCUUCGACUUCGGCGGCGCUCGCUGCUGUUGCGGCGACCACGGCGCAGAGUGCCGGUGAUAUGCCACCGGUGGCGUUUGUCCGAAGUCGUCACCAAGAGAUUUGCAUGCUGAGAGCGCAGGCGAUGCAUCUUCUUCAAAUCGGAGCGGGUGCAGGCAGCUCGACCCUCCCCGCAGCAGCAUCGGCCUCCGCCUCUGCGGCGACGCAGCCGUCGUCUUUGUCAUCGCAGCAGCAGCAGCACAGGAACCCGCUUGUGUCGCAGCUGCUGGGCCGCAACCAGUAGUCGCGGCAAGCGCUGCGACUUGAGGGUCGAUCGAACAAGUGAGUGCGGCACCAGUGAGGGAGGCCGGUGGAGGUCCGCGCACUCGAGGCCCAUCGUUCUUGACAGCCUGCAGGGCUGGGUUUUCUAAUUGGCCACCGGCUCCUCUCCACACGCGCAUAGCAGGCGGACGAUACCGUUGUGGAUGACGCAUGCUCUUCGAGCGCUCUGCACAAAUCGGUAGAAGAGGCCCUUUAGCAUGAAGCGGUGCGUGUGCGCUGAUAGACGCGUGUGACUCUUCACGGCCGCCGCACCUGCGGCAGCCGUUGCCCUCCCCCCUCCGCCCCUUGCUCGCAUGAACGCGGCUUUUUGUGCGAGCGGCGUCUGAGA